rnacentral:lncRNA from 1 species
ACUGAGGCCACCAUGUGCACGGUUUUCAGCUAUGCCUCAUUCGCUUGCUGUGUGAAUCUGGGCUGCAGGGCCUGCUGCUGUGUGCCACAGGCCAGUGCCCUGCAGUGCAAUUGUACCUGAGGACCCAAGGUGGCCAGGGAAGCCCCAGGUGCGACUUGGCAGGGGAAGCAGGGGCUGUGGACGGAUGGAGAGCUGUCAUGUGGAAAGGCAGUGUGUCCCCAGGCCGUGGCCCAGCCUCCAACACCCCCAAGUCCCCUCCAGGCCUCUCCAGACCAGGCCCACCACAUACUGCCUGUGCAACCUCGGAAACCUCCUGGGAACAUCCACCAUAUGCCAGGCAUAGUGUCAGACAGGAGGGGACAGAGAAAAACAAGAUCAACAACCGCCCUGCCCUUGUGGAGCUGGCGUUCUAGUACCGGAGACAAAACAAGGUGCUUCCAAGGAGGAAGCCGUGCUCAUCAGGUAAUCCGCAUAAUCGCUCAGGAGGAGACUUGGCAGCCAGAUGGAGACGCCACCUGGGGUCUUAGGGGAACAGCAUUCCAGGCAGAGGGAACUGCAGCUGCAAAGAUCCUGAGGAGGAAUGAGUGCCCAGCGUUUGAGAAGCAGAGCCGGCCUCUGGACGCCUGCCCUAGGGAGAAGGCUUUCCACCUCAUUUUUAGGGUCCUAGGGGAUCCCCUCCACUGUGAAUGCACGAAUGCACAAGGAUGACAUCGGCCCUUUUAUAGAGGGGAAGUUCUUCCCGUAAACAAACCAAAGUCCCUCUGGGGGACUUUGCAACUGAAGCUGAGCCUUCUCUUUUAGUCACUCCCACCCCCCAGACCCAGAGCCAGCUGAUUCCUCCUGCAUCCUGCUCACAGCUCCAGGAAAGCGUCCUGGUGGGGAAAGUCAGUGAAACACCAGGUGGCCUAAGGUAUUUUCCCAGGACCUCAAUGUGACUAGACAGGGCUAGCUUAUCAACCCUGGGAUGCGAUGAGAGGGGCAAAGCCCGGCAAAAGAAACUGGACCCAGGGCACUGAGGGAAGCCUAGGUCCCGUCUGAGUGCUCCGCACAGGGAUAGGAGGAGAGACAGUCGGGGGUUUUGUGAGGGAGGGGAUAGGUGGGUGGUAGUAAUGAGGGGUGUUCAAGUCAGUGCCCAGCAACCAAGAGGAGGAAGGAGGUAGAGGGGGUGUCAAGCAAGCCGUAGCUUCAGGCACAGCUGGAUCCAUAACCCUGAGGCUUGGGCUAUGAUGGCUGUUGCCCAACCCCCACUCCCAUAUCACCCAGGUCUCAGUCACCUUCCUCUCUGUGACACAACAGCCUCCUCCCUAGGGCUCCUUCCUUCCACUCUUGCCCCCACAAAUCCAUUCUCCAUAUAUUGUUAAAACCAUGCCACUCUCCUGCUUAACCCCUCCCCCCAUGGCUUCCUGACGCCCUCCACAUAAAGCAGAAACUCCUUACCCAGGCCCCAGAGACCCCCGCUGACCUCCCCAACCCCACCUCUCUCUCCUCUCCCCUCACUGCCUCUGUCCUUUCUGUCCCUUGAACACACCAAGCACAUCCCCACCUGGCCAGCAUUGCACCUGCUGUCCUGUCCCCCGGGUGCAUCACCAUGUGGCCGCCCCUUCUCAGCAGGACAGCCUAGAUGUCGCUGUCCUCGGCCAUCUGGCCCCCAGCCUUCUGUCCACUCCCCACACCAGCCCUGUCCGGCAGCUCCUUCUGUGAUGGAAGUGCUCUUUGUCCACUGUCACCAGCCUCUGUCAGAAGCUACCGGCCCCGUGUGGCUAACAAGCCCCUGAAAUGCGGCUACUGCAAUGGAAGAACUGGACUCUUAAUUUUCAAUUACUCCAAUUACUUGAAACUCAUAUAGCCACAUGGGGCUAGUGGCCACCAUUUGGACAGAGCGACUCCAAUGUUCUACAUGGUGUAAUUUUAUUUACUAGCCCUUAGCACAAAGUGACGUGAUCUUAACUUCACUUGUUUUCUGUCUCUCUGACGAGAGUAUCAGCUUUGUGAGGUGAGGAUUGCCUCCGUCUUUUCCACUGCUGUAUGCCGGGGCUUAGUAGUGGGCCUGGCGUAUAGUAGAUGCUUAAUAUGUAAUUGCUGAAUGAAUGAAUGAAUGAAUGAAUGAAUGAAUGAAUGCAUGCAUGAGUGAAUGAAUGACUCCUGGGGCCAUGAACUCUGAAUUUCUCCAAAAGGAAUGCUAGUUCUGCCGGGGAUUGUUGCUGUGUGACCUAAGUCAGGAUCUUGCCCUCUCUGGGCUCAGCAUCCUGACCAAGGGGUACCAGGGCCCCUCUGCUCCUAAGGCUCUGAGACUUCCUGCUGCUUACUCUGUCCAAGCUGCCCCGUCUAUCCUUCAUCCCCGAUGCCCACCCCCAGUCUCCCCAGCCACUUCAUAGGAAAGGGGCCAGACAGGCUUCCUGUCCCUGGAGCCUGUGUCUAGAGAGCCAUCAAAGCAGGCUGCCUGUACCCGUCUCCUAGCAACAAAUGGCCUUAGGAAGUAUUUGAGGGUGGGAUAAAGUGGUGGCCACUGUGGGGCUGUGUCCCAAAUCGACAGCUCUCCAGUUGGCCAAGGGCAAGUGUUUCCCAGGAGCCAGGCCAAGGCAGGCUGGCAGUCGUGGUACAUGCACCAGGAGUCGGCUCCAGGGUCCUCCAAGCCUGGGCCCUGCAGUCGGCCACCCUUACCUUCUCGUGCCUGUGCUUGGGGUUCAGAGGUGGCAGGGGGUGCUUGGGCCCUACAUGCUUCUUGUGGGGACCUGUAGGAACCAGGCAUGAGGAAGUGAGGAGUGGGUGCUGACUGUCAGUGACUCGAACCCUGACUGCCCCAGCAUCCAACACUCACACGCAUGCACAUGUGCCUACUCAGCCGGACACAACACACAACUAUGCAUGCUGACACGCACUUGUGCAGAGGCAUAGGCACAGACUGCACUUACCUUAUUCUAUUUAUUAUUUUUAUUUUAUUUUUAGAGACAAGUUCUCACUCUGUCGCCCAGCCUGGAGUGCAGUCAUGCCAUCCUAGCUCACUGCAGCCUCAAUUUCCUGGGCUCAAGCGAUCCCCCCGCCUCAGUCUUUCAAGUAGCUGGGCCUACAGGUGUGUGCCACCAUGCCCAGCUAAUUUUUAAUUUUUUUGUAGAGAUGAGGUCUCACCAUGCUGUCCGGGUUGGUCUCAAACUCCUGGCCUCAAGCGAUCCUCCUGCCUCAGCCUCCCAAAGUGCUGGGAUUAUAGGUAUGAGGCAACUUGCCAAGCCCAAACAUGCACAUAGAUAUGGACACAUGGACCUGCAUAUAUAAAACAGACAUGCAAACAUAUACAGCUCAAUCAGACAGAAUACACACACACAAUGACACUCACAGACAAUCACAUAGAAGCCCAGAUAUAUAUGCAGUGGGGCCAGCCAGAUAGCCCAGUUGCCCACAAACACACAUAAAUAUGUACCAUCAUCUCACAGAUCAUAUGACAUGCAAAGAUGGAUGCAUCUGUACAAUUCACACACAUAUUCACAAGUCAGAGAUGCAGGUCAGACCCCCAGAUAAACAGGCCAACAUGCAUGUAGACACAUAACAUGGUCAUUCCCAGAAACACCCUCAGAGAUAGCCAGACCACCCUCUGGACAUGCACAGACACAGACACAUAAGGAGAUGAUAUAUCAAUGACUCUUACACACACCCACGAGUCACAGCCCCUGAAGUGAUAUGGUGAACUAGAAGUGUCAGCCCCCAUUCCUGUGGACUCUGAGCAAACCUCCACUCCCCAGCCUGGCCACACGCAGGCACGCAGGCCGGAAGAGCUGCCGCCUCUCCCUGCCCCGGCCAGCUGGCCGUCCUCCAGGCUUGGUGCAGAUGGUGGGGCCAGGGCAGGGACAGCCCAGCCUGUGGCCUGUGUUGCCUGCCUCUUGAGUCCCAGGCCUCUUCUUCUUGGCUGUGGGACCCUGAAGGCCCCCUCCCCACAGCUGAGUAGGCCCUGACAAUUUGUGUAACAACCUCGAUUUCUGAUUUCUUUUGGAAAAUUAAAAGAUCGAUCACGACCAGGCCCAAAUCCUGUAGGACAGACGGCUACGACCGAGGCCAUGGAGCUGCUGCCUGUUGUAGGAGCAUGGACACCCCAGAUCACUGAGGCCACUGCUGCCACCUGCCUGGCCCUAGAGGCCUCUGAGUGUGCAACCCUGGAACUACAUGCUUCCCUGCAUGUCCUGAAAAAGAAAAACAUGUCAAUCCAGAGAGCAGAUUACUACAACUUUCUUGGCUCUUGAUAAGUAUCACUAAACAAAGCUCCAGGAAACUUGUACUAAUCUGCUCUUUGGAUUGACAAUUUUAUCUUUUUCAGCCUUUUUUUUCUUAUUACAAAAAUAAUUUCUGUUUUUAGGAGAUAACUGGAAAUCACUCACUGGGCAUUUAAUGAUAUUAAAGAAUUAUUGUUUUUUUAGGUAUGAUAAUGGUAUUGUGGCUACUUUUUGAAAAUAG